rnacentral:rRNA from 1 species
GAGUUUGAUCUUGGCUCAGAUUGAACGCUGGCGGCAUGCCUUACACGAUGCAAGUCGAACGGCAGCACGGGAGCUUGCUCCUGGUGGCGAGUGGCGAACGGGUGAGUAAUGCAUCGGAACGUAUCCUGGAGUGGGGGAUAACGUAGCGAAAGUUACGCUAAUACCGCAUAUUCUGUGAGCAGGAAAGCGGGGGACCUUCGGGCCUCGCGCUCUUGGAGCGGCCCGAUGU